rnacentral:piRNA from 1 species
UAGCCUGAGCUACGGGGCCGAGGCAGU